GGAGCCCCUGAGCUCAAGGAGUGGCGGAAAACAGGGGUGGAGUCUAACUACAGCACUUAUUGGAUGCCCCAGGGCAUGGUAUGGAGAGAGAUUUGCUGCAUUUCAGAAUCUAAACUAACAUUUCCUUUUCUUCACUUUGAGGGUGCACGCAGGAAGCUAUUGGGCACACCAAGAUCAGAAAUUCUCGGGGCAGUCUUUACAAGAGCGC